CAUGGGAGCCUGUUGGGCUGCCGUCUAUUGGGUCGCACAGAGUCAGACAUGACUGAAGCGACUUAGCAGCAGCGGCAGCAGCAGCAGGGAAGUGUCUUGAGGAAAUACCAGCAGCCUAUCACUUGUCACAUGAAAAAGCCUGAGAUAAUAAUCCACCUAGUGAGAGGCAGAACUGAGAAGCAGAGACACAUCACACCCAGAUUUCAGAUAAACUAUCUCUCAACCCUCCACCAAGUACCAGAAGAUAAUAAAAAGUGUUAAAUCAUUUGACUGGCCAUGUCCAGGAUUAAAUAAGGGUCAAAUCUUACCCAAACUUGAAAACCUGGCUCUAAAACCAUCUUCAUGAAGGCUCAUUACAACUCCAUGAAGUAUCUUCCUCCUUGAACCCCACAUUUUUACUUCAAACUUCUCAUGUG